AACGAACGCUGGCGGCAUGCCUAACACAUGCAAGUCGAACGAGACCUUCGGGUCUAGUGGCGCACGGGUGCGUAACGCGUGGGAAUCUGCCCUUGGGUUCGGAAUAACAGUUAGAAAUGACUGCUAAUACCGGAUGAUGACUUCGGUCCAAAGAUUUAUCGCCCAAGGAUGAGCCCGCGUAGGAUUAGCUAGUUGGUGAGGUAAAGGCUCACCAAGGCGACGAUCCUUAGCUGGUCUGAGAGGAUGAUCAGCCACACUGGGACUGAGACACGGCCCAGACUCCUACGGGAGGCAGCAGUGGGGAAUAUUGGACAAUGGGCGAAAGCCUGAUCCAGCAAUGCCGCGUGAGUGAUGAAGGCCCUAGGGUUGUAAAGCUCUUUUACCCGGGAUGAUAAUGACAGUACCGGGAGAAUAAGCCCCGGCUAACUCCGUGCCAGCCGCCGCCGUAAGAC
rnacentral:rRNA from 1 species